rnacentral:lncRNA from 1 species
UGUAGCAAUUUUCACUUGUUUAAUAAUUGAGAUAAGUUAUCUCAAUUGGGUAGAUAGGUGAGUGGUAGAAAGUCCCGGUAAAUGUUUUACCGUGGUAGGAAUACUUUCUUGUGAGCGAUAAAAUAGUGAGUAGUUGUUUCGGGGUUGGGAAACACUUGAGAGACACUAUUUUGGAUCGGCUCGGAUCACCUUGUAGCUACCUUGUUAUAGUGAAGAAGUGCUCGUAGCUGUCG